rnacentral:rRNA from 1 species
UACGGAGGGGGCUAGCGUUGCUCGGAAUCACUGGGCGUAAAGCGCACGUAGGCGGCUCUUUAAGUCAGGGGUGAAAUCCUGGAGCUCAACUCCAGAACUGCCUUUGAUACUGGGGAGCUCGAGUCCGGGAGAGGUGAGUGGAACUGCGAGUGUAGAGGUGAAAUUCGUAGAUAUUCGCAAGAACACCAGUGGCGAAGGCGGCUCACUGGACCGGUACUGACGCUGAGGUGCGAAAGCGUGGGGAGCAAACAGG